GAUCAUUUAGUUUAUUUAAAAUGUGGAUUUUGUAAAUCUAAGAUAGCUGUUGUUAUUGAUCU
rnacentral:tRNA from 1 species